rnacentral:rRNA from 1 species
UACGGAAGGCAGCAGUGGGGAAGUAUUGCACAAUGGGCGCAAGCCUGAUGCAGCCAUGCCGCGUGUAUGAAGAAGGCCUUCGGGUUGUAAAGUACUUUUCAGUCGUGAGGAAGGUGUUAAGGUUAAUAACCUUAGCAAUUGACGUUAGCGACAGAAGAAGCACCGGCUAACUCCGUGCCAGCAGCCGCGGUAAUACGGAGGGUGCGAGCGUUAAUCGGAAUUACUGGGCGUAAAGGGCACGCAGGCGGUUAAUUAAGUUGGAUGUGAAAUCCCCGGGCUUAACCUGGGAAUGGCAUUCAAGACUGGUUAGCUAGAGUCUUGUAGAGGGGGUAGAAUUCCAUGUGUAGCGGUGAAAUGCGUAGAGAUGUGGAGGAAUACCGGUGGCGAAGGCGGCCCCUGGGCAAAGGCUGACGCUCAUGUGC